AAUGCGAAAGGGACAAAAUAUGAGCUUUGGAGUCCCCAAGACCUGGUUUCUAUUUAGACUCUACCAUGUAUUAUUGAUGUGACAAUUUUUCCAGAACAACCUCUCCCAUCCUCACUUUUCUUUUGAGUACAUUGGAGAUAAUUAAACUGAUCAGACAGAGCUAAAGUCAAGAGUAAAGGGUAAUAGCUCAUAGUAAUAGCUCAUAGUAGGUACUUAAAUGUUUGUUCAUUUUGUUUCAUUAUGACUACUACUUUCCUUGACUACGAAUGUGACAGAAGGGACAGAAACCAUAUCAGUAGCCAGUGAUAAAGUGAUUAGAAAAAUGUAUGGGUUUGGAGUAGCUCCUCCUUACAGGACUCUCACAGUAGCCUUUGUCCCACGUGUAGCAAAGUGAAUUGACCAUGCCAUCCUGAACCUGAAAUGCUUAAUUUGAAGUCCUCUGUGUCAAAGAGACUUAAGUUCACAGAGAAACUGCAGCAGGCUAAAGCAGUGGCUCUACUCUGGGAAAUUCAUAGAUAUUUUUGUUGUUCUGUCCACAACCAUGCUCUUAAAAAGGACUGCAUGACAAGGUUCGCCGAUUGCUAUUCGUUAAAGGCCCUUUUUGUGGCCCUCUGUGGGAUUAUAAGGUGGCGCAAACACUGUAUCUUAAUUCAUAAUCUCCCAGCAAAUGUAAAAUGGCUGAAGGUUCACUUUUCCUAGAGAGUUUUAGUUCUUUCCUCUCUUUGGCAGAGAGAAUUGAGCUCACUAUGAGUUCUAAAAUAUACAAUUAUAGGAAGCCAUGUUUUGAAAUGACAGUGGGGAUGAAAAUGGCAUGCGUGACUCCUGUUUGGACAUGAAUGACUAUCGGAAAGGAAGUCAACCUUGAAUGACACUGAGAACCAGGAUAAUGAAGCAUGAAUUGACAGGUGAUGGGCUAGAUUUAAAACAUUUGAAGAGCCUGUAUAAUAAAAUGAGUGAAAUAGGUUGACUCGAUCAAGGGAGAUUAUGGGAAAUUAUGUCAUUUCUAUACUGUUUGUUUCUGUGAUGAAUGAAGAACUUUAUUUCCUUGACUCAGGUUUAAGAUCUUUUCUAUUCAUAAUUUCUCCCAAAUCUACUUUGGAAAAAAAAGAAAUUCAUCUGUAAGGUAUUAUUCUAUUUUGUCUCCUGGUCCAAAUUGUGUAUGCUAUUUUGUGCUACUCAAGAUGAAUAUUGUGGUGAUGAUGGUCUUAUUUUCUUUCCCCAGUAAAAAAAAGAAAAAUAAUUCCAGGUAAUGGUAAGUUUUGAGGCCAUGAGAAAUAGCCAGUACAUGUCAAAAAUAUGUUGGUAAAAAUUACUUAAAAUUUCUUCAGUGGUAAAUGGAUAGGGUAAAAAAAAAGUAUGCCAAUUUGUAUUCAAGUCAUUCUUUACCCUUGCCAACAUUUUCACUAUCAACCAGUAGCAUGUUCUGAUUCAGAACUUGCCGUUGGAGUAGUGUAUGUGUCUUGUCCCAAAUAAGGGUUACUGACUCUUCUGAAAGGAAAAAUUACUUCUAAUUUCCUCAAAGCCUUGCUAUCACUGAGUGAUAAUGAGAACAGCAGAGUGAGGCAGACAGAUCUCAGAGGGGCUGAACUGCUGACAAGGAACUACCUGAGUGGACCAGGGAUAAGGGCUACACUGCCAAUCACUCUUCUCCCAGCAGAGAAUAAUGCCAGAUAACCACGGGGCAUAUGUCAAGCAUCGUUCAAUAGGUCUACCUGUUGAGGUUUCCAGAUUGACUGAUAAAAACAACUUGUCUGCAGGUAGUUUGUCUACAUGAGAAGUGACCCAGUUGCUCUAUUUAAUUGUGUGGAUCCAAUUGAUACUUUAGCACAGAAAAAAAUAGGUUAUCAAGGAGGAGUCAAGUUGGAGGUGAAGUAAGAGGGUCAGUCUUCCCUUCCAUCUCCUUGAAACACAUAAUGUCUUGUAAUCAUAGCUAAACAAGUGUGCAGAUACAUCAGUAGCUUUUCUGAAAAUGGACGUUUUUAAAUUUAUUGAAAGGAGACAUUUUCUAAGAAAUCAUUUUUUUAAUAAAAUAAAGAUUAUUUUCAAAUUAAGUAACUUCUUUAUGUUUUCUUGGUGCAGAGGAUCAGCAGAUAUAAUGGAGAUUUUAGAAUCAGCAAUUAGGUUUAAAAUUUGUCCACUUAAAGCACUUAACUAACUACAGGACCUCAGUUUCUGCUCUGUGUUUUACUGACCUUUCCAGACUCAUUUAAUGCUACAUUUCAGUUAUACUGAAUGUGUUACUGUUUCUGAAUCAAGUUAUGGUCCUCUCAUCCCUCCAGCGUUCACAUGUGUUGUUACCUCUAUCUGGAAUAUUCUUCGGUAAUUUAACUUUAAUCAGCUAUUUCCCAUCCCCACACACAUACACACUCGUGUACCUGAUUUCUCACCAUCCUUCAGGACUUACCUUAAAUGACACCUCCUCCAGGAGUCCUUCUUUGACCCCUACUUGAAAUUAGAUCCCGUGUAUGACCCUACACAUCUUCCAUCAUAAGGCAUCUUAUUGAAUGAUGUGUUUAUGUCUUCCCAACAAGACCAUCAUCUCUGAGAGCAAAGAUCGUGCUGCUCUCACUCAACACACUAUCCUUAGCACCUAUCCCAGCUCCUGGGAACACAGGAGACCCUCAGUGAAAAUUUGUGGGAUGACAUCCUCCAAUGUGAUUCGUUACUUAUUCGUUACUUAUCAGAGUCACAUAUCCAAAGUCUCACCAGUUGUGCUAUAUAACAACAGUCUAACCACAGUAGCCAUUCACAAACAUCUGUUCAAAGAAUGAUUAAACAAGUGAAUGAAUAAAUGAGUAAAGUGUUGAGAAGAACACAAAAGUCUUUCUGUCUAAAGUAUUUCUUCAUAAAAUUUGAAAUCCUGAAUCAUAUUUUUUUGUUGAAUAGCUAUUAAUUCCCCACACAGCAUGGACUAUAAAAUGACAGGAAGCUGAGCAAGUUCCCAUCUGACAGCAGAUCCUUGGGACCCUGGAAAAACAACAACAACAACAAAACAAUGAAGACCCCAGGAAACAAAAGAGUGGAGGAGGAAGGAGGGCAAGACAGAAAAAGACUAAAACCACCUGCCUCUAUUCGUUACAGUACUUCUCAGAGCAACAUUUUUGAGGGCUUCUAUAGCAACGACCUCAAAAACAAAGGAGACAUAUGCAAGUUCAAGAAAAUGAAAUCAGUGUUUAAUUACUAAAUAUUCUACCUCUAAAAUUAAAGAAAAAAAGCUUAAAUAAUUCAGUUUGAUUUGGUCUCAUUAGUCUGAUUUCCUAGUAUUUAGCCUUAAUUAUGUGAUACAUAAGCCCUAAUUAUGUGGUACAUAUACAGUGCACUCUCUAAAGUUAAAGAUCAGAACGGAUACUGACGUAAAUGAUAAAAUAUGUUAAAUUAUUAAUGGUAAUUAAUCUUACAAAAUAGGCAUAAUUAGUUUAAGUACUUUAGAUAUUAUUCUUAAUAGCAUUACAAAUAAUAUGACACAGUUUGAUCAUUUUAAAAGUAAUUUAUUGGGAAGAAAAGCAGUUCAAGCAAUGUUUUUUUACUCAGGAGGGUGAAGGGAUUGCUUGGUGCUGCUAAAAUAUUUAGCUGUCCUUGUUGAAAAGGUGAGCUUGUUUUAACCCAUUAAGUGCUGUGUCCUAAACAAAAUGGGAAUUUAAUUUUAAAGAACAUUUUUUUUCGUGAAUAUAUCAUCCUUACAAAUAACAGUAGCUAUUCCAUUAAGAGUUUUCUAAUAUUCUUUCAUUCAGUGAGUUCUGGGUAUCGUGCCAUGAAUUGUUUAGAAUUGUUCAGUUUGUUUUUGUGUUUUCCCUUUUUAUUGUUGAGUUUUUGUCUUCUGCUGAGGUUAAUUUAAAUUUUUGGUUAUUUAAUUUUGAUGCUAGACCAAAGCCUUCUGUUUUAACUCUUUCUUUCUACCUCUGAAUGAAUCUGCUAUUGUCAUUUAAUGUCUAACAUGGGGUUAAACUCUGAGAAGUUCUACAGGAAUAUACAAGGAAUACAGUUUGCCUUUGAAGCAAAAUUUUGAAAUGGAUGUUUCUUUAUUGAAUGGGAACAUGAAUGGAAUCAGAUAAUUGGUCAUCUCUCCUAACUGGAAUUUAGUGAUGAAGAAUAAGAUGAUAAAUUACACAUCAGAAAUCAUACUACUUGCUCUCUAGACUUUACUACAAUGUUCCGAGUCCAGGUUUAAAAAUAUCUUUACUGUCUACUACUGAGGAAAGCUUAUAUAAUCCAACUGCAGAAACUUUUCUCAGAAUGUAGCCCAAGAGAAUGACCAGAAAUAUGAUUUCAUCCAAUAAAAUUCUGAUGUUAUUAAAUUAACCCGUUAUAUAUGAAUCAGUCUUGAACUUUGACAUUCUAAGAUGCUACAAUGGUUAAAAGUAAGUAAAGAAUGCUAUUGAGCAUCUGUCUCUAAAGUCAUACAGGGAAAGUUUCUAAUAUUUGUUCUAAUGACACCCUUCCACAAUGUUCAAAAUCAAAACAGCAUUCUUCCCAGACACCACACUCACCAUUUAAUGUGUUUUUCAAAGCUACCAUCACCAACAUUUUGAGCAGACAUCUUCCCAGUAUUCAGACUCCCUAAUUAGAUGUAAAGCAGUGUUGAUUUGAUACUAAUUCAAAUUUGGCUCUAUUGAAUAAACACUCGUUAAGGACACAGAUAAAGGUUGGCUCCUGAGUAGGAAGGCUGGCAAAAGUGGGGUCUGGACUUCCCUGGUGGUGCAGUGGUUGAGAAUCCGCCUGCCAAUGCAGGGGACACAGGUUCGAGCCCUAGUCCAGGAAGAUCCCACAUGCCACGGAGCAACUAAACCCAUGCACCACAACUACUGAGCCUGCGCUCUAGAGCUCACGAGCCACAACUACUGAGCCUGCAUGCCACAACUACUGAAGCCUGCAUGCCUAGAGCCUGUGCUCCGCAACAAGAGAAGCAACCACAAUGAGAACACGUGCACCACAACGAAAAGUAGCCCCUGCUUGCCGCAACUCGAGAAAGCCCGCGUGCAGCAACGAAGACCCAAUGCAGCCAAAAAUAAAUAAAUAAAAUUUUAAAAAAAUAAAAAUAAAGUGGGGACUGUCAGGGAAAGGAAAUCUCAACACUGUCACGAUGUUUUACUGAGAGGACUCCAAGGAAUACAGCAGUGAUUUCCAUACUUUUGACAAAUUUAAAUCAACGAUAGUAAACUUUCUUCAAAUUAGAUCUUGCAUAGAAUCUCAUUUGUAAAACAGAUGAAACUGAUAUUUUAGAAGUCAGUGAGAACAAUAAGGGUAUUUCACUGAAAAAAGAAAUAUAAAAUUGGGUGUUACAGAUGACAUUUCAAGAAAAUCCACCCAGAUAAAGUAUAACAUGUUUUAUUUAUUUUUCAAUAGGUGGCCUUGAGUCUUAGACUGCUCUUCAACUGAUUAUCAUAGUGUCACAAAAGAAACUUUCAUCUGAGGAGGAGAGAGAAAGAGAGAAGAGAAGUGAAGAAGAGAGAAAAGAAGAGAAGAAGAGAAAAGGAAAGGGACACUCACUGGCCAGAUCUUGGGCUUAGGAGAAAAUCUAGCUCCAGUUAGGGUUUUUGAAGGAGAUACUGGAACUUCCAAGUGGGAUAUUCAUGAGUGGAGGGACGUAAACUCCAGGUGGCAGGUGUUAAAGUUGACAGGAAGCAGCUGAAAGACACAGCCUUGUGGUGCGAGCCGGGCAGCUGGACACUGUGCAUGGAGAAUCUCGAGCAGUUGUUUGCCAAAUGUAUUUGUAUCAUCUCAUUUGAUCCCAUCAGCAAUACUUGAGGGUCCCUGGUGGCGCAGUGGUGAAGAAUCCGCCUGCCAAUGCAGGGGACAUGGGCUCAAUCCCUAGUCCAGGAAGAUCCCACAUGCCGCGGAGCAGCUAAGCCCGUGCACCUAGAACCCGUGCUCCGCAACAAGAGAAGCCACUGCAAUAAGAAGCACGCGCACCGCAAGAGUAGCCCACGUUCGACGCAACUAGAGAAAGCCCGUGUGCAGCAACGAAGACCCAAUGCAGCCAAAAAAUAAAUAAAUAAAAUAAAUAAACUUAUAAAGAAAAAAAACAAUACUUGGAAGUGAAUGCAUAGGUGAUAAUACCCAUUUUAUAGAUCAAAACAACAGAACUUUUGAGAGGGACUGAGAAUUGCAGCAUUUCACAUGACCAUGAAAUGGCAGAGCCAGGCAUAAAGCAUGGGUUUCCUGUACUGUGUUCAGUAUUAUUCACAUUGACUGAUUGAUUGGGUUAUAUAACCCCGGAGUAGAAUGAGGCAUUUGAGGAUGUGGGUGCAUGUAGUUUAGUCUUUAUUGUUUCCUCUGAAAAAAAAAAAGAAAAACAUCUAGUGGCUUAGAUCAUCAUGUUUCUUCUUUUUUUGGGUUAUAGUGUUAUUCAUGAUCAUGGGUUAGAAUUCUUUUUAUCUUCUCCAGGGGAUUUGAGGCUUAUAAGAAGUUAAAUGAGUCAGACCUAUAUGCAAGAUAUUGGUCUAGGCAUUUGAGACAUAGAGCCUGACAUUAGAAUAAUCAUAAUCUAGUUAAAUUGUAUAAUACAUAUUUGUAUUAUACAUAUUUGUAUAUAUAAUUGUAUAAUACAUAUUUACAUAUUUGAUUUCAUCUAAUCGCUUUAAAAAUAUGUUGAGUUAGGAUUGUUAUUCCUAUUUUAAAUAUGAAGAAAUUGAGGCUCUGAAAGAUUAGUUUAUUUUCCUGAAGGCACAAAGCUGAAACAUGGGAAUGCUGGAAUUCAUGUACAGGUCCAACUGACUAAAACCAGAAGGGGACUGAGAAUGUACACAAUUGAGAUGAGAUGUAGAAGCUGGGAUAAAGAGUCAGAAUUGGAAUGUAAAUGAGGUGAUAUGAAAACACUCUGAUUGGAGGAGGUUCUCAUUAUAGGCGGUAACGUUUGGGUUGAGUUCUUGAAGGGGGAUUUUGCAUCAUAGACUAGGGAAUGAAUGGAGUUUAAGCAAGGGUAGUGUCAAUAAAGCCAUGGAGUCAUGAAAGUUCAUUCUACAUUGAGAGAAAAGUGGAAUGUGAGUUUGGAAAUCCUCAUAACGGAAAAAAUAAUCAAAAUGAUAAAUACAGAGCACAUUUGAGGAGGGAGAGGUUCAAGGUCAUCUAUUUAUCUUGGAUUUCAGAAGGCUAUUAUAAAUGCUGAGGUAAGUGGAGCCACUGCAGAGCUGAACCAUCUGUCUUUGCAUACAUUUCUCCCAAGUACCUAAUGAAAUGUUUCUAAAGCUAAGCUUUAGAUUACACAAGAAGGCUUGGAUAUAUUCAGAAAAAACGUUUACAUUGUUUAUGAGAAUGUGUUUUUCCUUCCUAAGGUUUACAACAUUUUUCUUUUCUACUAUCUUCUUGACUCAUUCAUUGUGAGAGCCACAGUGCUUUUUCAUGAAGAACACAAUCUUUAUUCCAAGUUUUAAAGUCCUAUACAUUAUACCUGUAUCUCGAUUGAACAGAGAAUUGAAUAUAAA